rnacentral:misc_RNA from 1 species
GAAUCGAAGGAGACAGGAACAGUGAUGAAAGAAAGAAAGAAAGAGAGAGGGUGUUACACACGGAAGAAGGGGUUUAGAGAAUCGCGAGAUGGAAGAAGAGAAAGAACAAGUAAGACGGGUAAGAGAGUAAGGUAGUACACAGAGGUGUGGGAUCAGCGCGAGACGCGGUAGAAACUCGAGGGACGGAAAGGGGCGAAAAGCGACGAGUGCCGCCGAGACGAGACGAGGCGCGACGAGGAAAGACGAUGAAGGCCGACGGGGGUCGCACACCGCGGCGCUGAACGCAGUGCCAUCCGAUAGGCAGCACCGCUUGCUCCACGGAUCUUCGGCUCGUUCGCUUCGAGCUUCGGUCGUUCGUUGUACGAUCCACGCUCGAUUCCGCUUCCUUUCUUUUUCGUUCGUCUUGGCGUGGCUGCCGUGGCGUCCAUGCCGAGAAAGGAAAAGCCAGCAUCGACACGCUACACACGGUGGAAAACACGGAGCCGCCGCGAAGACGCGUGCACUGGUCGUGUGUGUCGUUGCCGCGCGUAGUUUUACGUGUACUGCGUAUACGUCUGAUCGUGCUCGUGAACAGAGGUGCCCCCUCCCCUCAUCCCGAACGGCGAACGCGUGGUGGUCAACACGACACAUCGUAACCCUUCCUCGAGGCCCAUAAACGCUUGACGAAGAGAUUCGCAGUGUUCGGAAGCGCGGUGAAGCGGGAACACCAGAGGAUGCGAGCAGCGGAGGCGCGUGUACUCGCGAAUGCUCGUCCGGCGAUCGUUCCUGACAACGAUCGGCACGGCUCGCGAUGAUGGCGGAGCGCGGUCGCGUAGCAGCGAUAUCGUGGUUCGAGUACGC